UGGUGAGCAUGGGGGAGAACGCGAGCCAGACGAAGCCGACGCCCGCGAGAGGAACGUAAACCGCGGCGGUGGGGACGGUGUUGCGGAUGAGGUCACCGAGGAAGCAACCGAGAAUUUCCAUGAAGCCAAUGAUGAAGUUCGUGGCGACAGACACCUUCCAGCCGAACUCGGCCGCCUUCUUGCCCAUGGCGAUGGAGUCCGCAUCCGACGCGCCGGUGCCGGGGUUGAACUUGGUAAAGCCGGCUUGGAUAGCGGGCAGGGAGAUGGCGUAGAUGGUGAUGUAGAUCACGGUGGUGUUCAUGCCGUAAGGCUGAGCGGUGACGUCGAGGCGGUUCUCCUUGGUCGCCAGGCGCGUGGCGAGCCACGCGAACCAGACGUUGCCGAAGAGGAGGGCCAGGCCGCAGGCGGGGAUGUUCCAAUCGUAGUAGAUCCUCGUCCAUUCGCCAGUGACGGUCGCUUUGUA
rnacentral:lncRNA from 1 species